rnacentral:rRNA from 1 species
UGGGGAAUUUUGGACAAUGGGCGCAAGCCUGAUCCAGCCAUGCCGCGUGCGGGAAGAAGGCCUUCGGGUUGUAAACCGCUUUUGUCAGGGAAGAAAUCUUCUGAGUUAAUACCUCGGGAGGAUGACGGUACCUGAAGAAUAAGCACCGGCUAACUACGUGCCAGCAGCCGCGGUAAUACGUAGGGUGCAAGCGUUAAUCGGAAUUACUGGGCGUAAAGCGUGCGCAGGCGGUUUUGUAAGACAGAGGUGAAAUCCCCGGGCUCAACCUGGGAACUGCCUUUGUGACUGCAAGGCUUGAGUGCGGCAGAGGGGGGAUGGAAUUCCGCGUGUAGCAGUGAAAUGCGUAGAUAUGCGGAGGAACACCGAUGGCGAAGGCAAUCCCCUGGGCCUGCACUGACGCUCAUGCACGAAAGCGUGGGGAGCAAACAGGAUUAGAUAGCCCUGGUAGUCCACGCCCUAAACGAUGUCAACUGGUUGUUGGGAAGGUUCCUUCUCAGUAACGUAGCUAACGCGUGAAGUUGACCGCCUGGGGAGUACGGCCGCAAGGUUGAAA